rnacentral:rRNA from 1 species
UACGUAGGGAGCAAGCGUUGUUCGGAUUUACUGGGCGUAAAGGGCGCGUAGGCGGCCUUCUAAGUCGGACGUGAAAUCCCUCGGCUUAACCGAGGAACUGCGUCCGAGACUGAAAGGCUUGAAUCCGGGAGAGGGAUGUGGAAUUCCAGGUGUAGCGGUGAAAUGCGUAGAUAUCUGGAGGAACACCGGUGGCGAAGGCGGCAUCCUGGACCGGCAUUGACGCUGAGGCGCGAAAGCUAGGGGAGCAAACGGG